ensembl:snRNA U7 U7 small nuclear RNA
AAGCAUUACAACUCUUUUAGAAUUUCUCUAACAGGCUUUUUAGUUUUCACUGGAUAAACCCCA